rnacentral:rRNA from 1 species
GACGAACGCUGGCGGCGUGCUUAACACAUGCAAGUCGAACGGAAAGGCCCUGCUUUUGUGGGGUGCUCGAGUGGCGAACGGGUGAGUAACACGUGAGUAACCUGCCCUUGACUUUGGGAUAACUUCAGGAAACUGGGGCUAAUACCGGAUAGGAGCUCCUGCUGCAUGGUGGGGGUUGGAAAGUUUCGGCGGUUGGGGAUGGACUCGCGGCUUAUCAGCUUGUUGGUGGGGUAGUGGCUUACCAAGGCUUUGACGGGUAGCCGGCCUGAGAGGGUGACCGGCCAAAUUGGGACUGGGCUACGGCCCAGACUCCUACGGGGGGCAGCAGUGGGGAAUAUUGCACGAUGGGCUGAAGCCUGAUGCGGCAACGCCGCGUGCGGGAUGAGGGCCUGCGGGUUGUAAACCGAUUUCGACUGUGACGAAGCGUGAGUGACGGUAAUGGGUAAAGAAGCACCGGCUAACUACGUG